AAGCUAGUAGGCUGGGCAAAUUGAUUAGACUUUUGCUGUAUGUAAUCUAAAUAGCAUUUCUGGUUAACUCUUUCCUUCCUCUUAUUUUCAGGCCCCACUGUUUAUCCUGCAGUUACUCAUCUCUAUCAAACCAUGAACGGGCUCAGAUUUCCUCAAGGUAAUCUGGCUUCCCAGAAACCUCCUGCUAAAUGCAAGGGUUUGCUGUCCUGUUUACUGACUGUUACACCUGAGGCUGGUUUUAAUACAGAUUCUGGACAUCAUAAGUACCACGGAGGCAACCCGAAGGUCUCUUUGAGGACCGAUGUGUCCGUCUCCGGAACGGCACCCAGCAAGCCAGCGCGACUCCCUAGGACAGGCACUACGGAARCACCUUGUCUAUUUGAAACGCUAUGGGGAAUGAAGGUGGGCAGCAUGUUAUCAUGCAUGGAUAGCAUGGAUAUCC
rnacentral:lncRNA from 1 species